CAGUAGCCGCGGUAAAACGUAGGUGGCAAGCGUUGUCCGGAAUUAUUGGGCGUAAAGCGCGCGCAGGUGGUUUAAUAAGUCUGAUGUGAAAGCCCACGGCUCAACCGUGGAGGGUCAUUGGAAACUGUUAAACUUGAGUGCGGGAGAGAAAAGUGGAAUUCCUAGUGUAGCGGUGAAAUGCGUAGAGAUUAGGAGGAACACCAGUGGCGAAGGCGGCUUUUUGGCCUGUAACUGACACUGAGGCGCGAAAGCGUGGGGGGCAAACAGGAUUAGAUACCCCUGUAGUCCCUGUCUCUUAUAC
rnacentral:rRNA from 1 species